rnacentral:rRNA from 1 species
CCCUUAGAUGUUCUGGGCCGCACGCGCGCUACACUGAUGCAUUCAACGAGCUUAGCCUUGACCGAGAGGUCCGGGUAAUCUUUGAAACUGCAUCGUGAUGGGGCUAGAUUAUUGCAAUUAUUAAUCUUCAACGAGGAAUGCCUAGUAAGCGUGAUUCAUCAAAUCGCGUUGAUUACGUCCCUGCCCUUUGUACACACCGCCCGUCGCUCCUACCGAUUGAGUGUGUUGGUGAGGAUUUCGGAUUGACAACUGGAGGUGGUUCUCCGCCGCCUAUUGCUGAGAAGUUCUCCAAACCGCCCCACUUAGAGGAAGGAGAANUCGUAACA